UGACACUUCCCAGACACGCUGCCUGUAUUCUGCUGUGUUCUGUGGGCCCAUGACUUCCCUUACUACUCUCUUCCCUCACUUUCUUCAAGAAAGCUUUUAAGAGAGUGUCUUUUCUAGUCCAAAAAGAAGUGACUACUUAAAAAGUCCCAAAUGACUUCACAGGGCAAAAAAAGGAAGAGGUGGAUAGGAGACAAUCGAAAUAAUUCUUCAAGUUUAUCAGAGUUUUACAUAUGGGCAUGAAAGAGCAUUGAGGACUUGGAGAAACCAUUUUAACAUCAUCUACCACUGAAACAACACAAUCUAAACCUUCAGUUCAGGAAGAACACAAGUUAGGUGAGUAGAGGAAGCUGAAUUCCCUGGGAUUCUUCCUUUUGAGCUAUACUCAAUGGUAGUUU
rnacentral:lncRNA from 1 species